GGGCCCGCACAAGCGGCGGAGCAUGCGGAUUAAUUCGAUGCAACGCGAAGAACCUUACCAAGGCUUGACAUAUAGAGGAAAAGUGCAGAAAUGCACUCCCCGCAAGGUCUCUAUACAGGUGGUGCAUGGUUGUCGUCAGCUCGUGUCGUGAGAUGUUGGGUUAAGUCCCGCAACGAGCGCAACCCUCGUCCUAUGUUGCCAGCACGUAAUGGUGGGAACUCAUGGGAUACUGCCGGGGUCAACUCGGAGGAAGGUGGGGAUGACGUCAAAUCAUCAUGCCCCUUAUGUCUUGGGCUUCACGCAUGCUACAAUGGCCGGUACAGAGGGCUGCAAUACCGCAAGGUGGAGCGAAUCCCAAAAAGCCGGUCUCAGUUCGGAUUGAGGUCUGCAACUCGACCUCAUGAAGUCGGAGUCGCUAG
rnacentral:rRNA from 1 species